rnacentral:rRNA from 1 species
AUUGAACGCUGGCGGCAUGCUUUACACAUGCAAGUCGAACGGUAACAGGUUAAGCUGACGAGUGGCGAACGGGUGAGUAAUGCAUCGGAACGUGCCCGAUCGGGGGGGAUAACGCAGCGAAAGCUGCGCUAAUACCGCAUACGAUCUGAGGAUGAAAGCGGGGGACCGUCAGGCAUCGCGCGAUCGGAGCGGCCGAUGUCAGAUUAGGUAGUAGGUGGGGUAAAGGCCCACCAAGCCGACGAUCUGUAGCUGGUCUGAGAGGACGACCAGCCACACUGGGACUGAGACACGGCCCAGACUCCUACGGGAGGCAGCAGUGGGGAAUUUUGGACAAUGGGCGAAAGCCUAAUCCAGCAAUGCCGCGUGCCGGAAGAAGGCCUUCGGGUUGUAAACUGCUUUUGUACGGAGCGAAAAGGUCCUUUCUAAUACAAGGGGCUCAUGACGGUACCGUAAGAAUAAGCACCGGCUAACUACGUGCCAGCAGCCGCGGUAA